rnacentral:rRNA from 1 species
AACGAACGCUGGCGGCAGGCUUAACACAUGCAAGUCGAACGCAUCCUUCGGGGUGAGUGGCAGACGGGUGAGUAACACGUGGGAACGUACCUUUCGGUUCGGGAUAACCCAGGGAAACUUGGGCUAAUACCGGAUACGUCCUUAGGGAGAAAGAUUCAUUGCCGAAAGAUCGGCCCGCGUCUGAUUAGCUAGUUGGUGAGGUAACGGCUCACCAAGGCGACGAUCAGUAGCUGGUCUGAGAGGAUGAUCAGCCACACUGGGACUGAGACACGGCCCAGACUCCUACGGGAGGCAGCAGUGGGGAAUAUUGGACAAUGGGCGCAAGCCUGAUCCAGCCAUGCCGCGUGAGUGAUGAAGGCCCUAGGGUUGUAAAGCUCUUUCGGCGGGGACGAUAAUGACGGUACCCGCAGAAGAAGCCCCGGCUAACUUCGUGCCAGCAGCCGCCGUAAU